GAGGGAACGAGGCAAAAGGACAGUCUCGAAGCGGAGCGCGAAACUUGUUCGUUGGCUGGGGCAUCCCUGGAGUGCUAAAAAGGCGACAAAGAGACGCCGUCGCCCUCUCUCGUCUCUUCCGAUGCUGAUGCUCCCGAUCCUUCUCUGUUUAAAUCUCUCCUGCGCCUCCGGUGUCGGACAUGAUCCAAGAGCCCUUGCCCUCGGGCUCUCUUUGGGUUUCUUGGCUUCUAUCCGAUCGGACGUGGGUUUUUCCUGGCGUAUUGAGGGCGGAUUAGCUGGUGGCGAGUUCUUGAUGCAUAAAGCAUAUGGAUCGAGGGAUUUCUUAGAGGAGUUGAUUCCAUUUGGAGGCAUUUUGUGGUUCUUUAGGUGGAUCCUAUGUCUUUUUCGUCUGUUUCCUGUGCAUGUGGGAGGUCUUUUUUAACAUCCGGUUGGUCACGAAGGCAAGGGGAGCUAUGUUUGUGAACCCUGUAAAUACAUCUGCCAAUUUAGCUCUAAGAGAAUUUUAUUGUUACAAUACAACCACACACAUACACAUAUAUAAGGGUAGACUUGGGUAAGAUCGAUCAGAUUUGGGCUUAGAUUUGAUCAAAUCAAAACUAAACAAUAGGGGUUGUAUAUUGAUGAUCCAAGCUGUUAGAUGUGAUCUACUACCUCAAAAUUACUUGCACACCAAAAAUCAUAUGAUUUGAAGACCCCUAGCUAAGGUAUGCUGAACCGGUACCGCCGGCCGUAUCGACCGAUCGGUGGUACGGUUCGGUACGGUUUCGUACCGUACCGAACCGACGAAGGCAAGCAGACCCGAAUCGAAAGAAAAAAAGAGAGAAAGAGAGAAACAGAGAGAGAAAGAGGAAGAAAGAAAAAAAGAGAGGGGAAGGAGCCGGUGGGGUCGCCGGACGGCCUCCGGCUGGCCGUCAUGGCCGCCAGAGGGCGCAGUCCAUGCGUGCGGCGCCGCGGGCGUGAAACAGGGGUGUCGCCCCUGUUUCGCAAAUUUUUUAAAAAAACCUAGUGUUAAGUGAAGCCGGCAAAUAGUUUGCCGGCUUCACGAUUUUUGUGUUUUUUUUUAAAAAAUUCCUUAAGUCUGCAACUGGGUUGCCGACUUCAUAAGUUUAAACAAAAAAUAAAAAUAAAAAAUCGAAACAAACGGUCGUCUGUUUCAAAAAAGGAGCCCCCCGUUCGAUCACCCUCAGGCCGUCGGCGUCGGCUCGCCGGCCAUUGGGGGCCUCGCGACGGAGGCGCCGUCCGUCCGGUAGGUCCCUCGCCCCCCCUCCGAGUGUUCUCUCUCUCUUUCUCGCUCUCUUGAAAGCCCUAUCGGGCGGAGCUGCGGAGGGGCUCCGCCCGCUCGACUAUCCUCAAGCCGUCGGCAUUGGCUCGCCGGCCACUGGGGCCUUGCGACAGAGGCGCCGUCUGUCCGGUAGGUCCCUUGUUCCCCCUCCGAGCGCUCUCUCUUUGUCGCUCUCUUAAAAGUCCUAUCGGGCGAUACGGGGCUCGAAAGUCCUUCGGCGGCCGCAACCAGCCACCGCCGGCCUCCGACGGCUCCCACCUCCCUCCCUCUCCUCUCUCUCUCUCUCUUUCUCACUUUCUCUCUUUUUUCCUUCCAUACUGCCGGUGUACCGAAUUUACCAGCCGAAUCGUGCCGGUUCUUCGUCGGUCCGAUACGAUACGGGGUGUAUCGGCUGGUUCGGCACGGUAUGGGAAACCUUGCUCCUAGCCCAUACAUCAAGUGAUCAAAAAAUACAUCUAAUUUAAUUUUAUUUAGGCUGUUCAAUUUUUGACUGCUUGAUGCAUAGGUUAGGAGUCUUCAAGUCAUAUGACUUUUUGUAUAUAAACAGUUUUGAGGUAGUAGAUCAUAUUCAAUAGCUUGAAUUAUUGAUGUAAGAAUCCUAUUAUAGAGUUUUGACCUGACCGGAUCUGAGUCCAAAUCCGGUUGACUUGAUUUUAGUCUGGCUCUUUAUAUAUGUGUGUGUGUGUGUGUGGAGACUGGUAUCGUGCCUUUAUUUUGAAAUUUCAUAAUAAAAACUGUAGAAAUUCAUAAGCAUCCAGUGCAACAUUCAUGGAGACUUUGCAGGUCAAUUUUGACAAAAUUCACAAGUCCUAGUCCAAACUGUUUGGUGUUGACUUUAAUCUUUACUUGCCAUCUGCUAAUUGUUCCUGUUACAUAACACUAGUGGUUGCUGUAAGAGGAACAAAUUGAUAAAAGACUCAAAGCCAAGCCUUUGAACUAGUAUGAAAAAUCAUGGUUAGAGUUAUUAGGUUUCCAUGCAUUCUGCACAAGAUGCUUAUGAAUCCCAAUUUAUUCUUGAGACUUUGGUCCGUGAUGUCAGAGCUAAUAAAUAAUUAUGUGGUAAAGGUUCUGGACUUCCAUUUUCCCUUCUUCACACAUCUCAGAUAAUGGAGGUUCUAUUUCAGAUAGAAGGAAGGAGAAUUUUGAACUAUCUAUGAGUUUUGCUGCUAGGAUUUCAACUAAAUCUAAGCAUAACCUGAGGAAGGCGAUAAUGACCCUUGAAGCAUGAAAAGCACACAACCACCCUUUUGUUGGUGAUCAACCAAAACUAGGUUGGGAGGAUGUUUUGGCUGAACUUGCAGCAGAGAUUCUAGCUGAAUCCAUCUCCUAAAAGGUUAAAAAUUAAUCGUCUGAAAAUUUUCAUUCUCCUUUGAUGUUCUUUCUUAUUUUGGUAUAGUUAAAUGUAAUAUCUUGUCUCUGGUUUUCUAUUCCAUUUUUUAAUUACAAUCAAAUUUAUUAUAAGAAAUUACGUUUGUCUUACUAUUAAAGUACAUGCACCUUGCACAUGGAGAUUUAGUACAUUUACUCUGCAAAGAUGUGCCACCCUCUCUUCCAAAAUUAACCUAAGAAUUUUAAUGAUGCAUCAAUAUGCACCAAGUACUCUUGCAAAGCCACUUAAAUACCAACACAGACUAAGUACACAAUUACAAUUACCUCAACAAUGAAACUUUUGUUUUAUUCCUUUCUCAUCAUAAUUUAUUAAUUUGAAAUUAAAGUUACUUGAAGCCUUCUUGUUGGGUCUAGAAAUGGCUUUCUUGUCCUUUCUUAUGUUUGAAUAUUUAUUUUUUUAUCAACAUUUUUUUUAAAUUUUUUUCUAACAUCAUAAGUUUCAGUGUUAUUGUAUAAAGUUCAACCUCCUCUAGAAUUGCACACCAAUGCUUGCCCAAUUUCAAGACACCUUUAGCCUAUUACUUGAUAUUUCUUUAGCCUCUUUCAUGAAGUAAUGGUGUUACUUGGAGAAUUAGAUUUGUAAUCAGAAGGUGGAUUAAAUACAACCUGUGUUUUCUGUUUAUCUAAGUCCAAAGUGAAGUUGUUUAUUUCUUCCUGUCAAGUUUCUUUAUAUGAUCUAUUUCUUAUAAGCUGCCUUUUUCCAUCCUUUGUCAUAUUUAAUUUUUUCUUUAAAAAAGAAUAUUAUCUAAAU